UUUGGUUAUUGUCUCGAGACA
rnacentral:miRNA from 1 species